rnacentral:rRNA from 1 species
UACGUAGGGGGCGAGCGUUGUCCGGAUUCAUUGGGCGUAAAGAGCUCGUAGGCGGCUUGGCAAGUCGGAUGUGAAAACUCCAGGCUCAACCUGGAGCCGCCAUUCGAUACUGCUAUGGCUAGAGUCCGGUAGGGGAGUGUGGAAUUCCCGGUGUAGCGGUGAAAUGCGCAGAUAUCAGGAGGAACACCAAUGGCGAAGGCAGCACUCUGGGACGUGACUGACGCUGAGACGCGAAAGCGUGGGGAGCAAACAGG